AGGCAGAGCCAGGAUUCACAGGAAGCCCAGGACAUCUUCUGGAAUCCCCCGAUCUAGCGUGCAAGCUAAAAGUGAAGCCCCAUCUAUAAGCCAUAUUAUGUUCCCUCAGCAUGCUGGUGCCAGGUUUUAUCAUUCCCGGGCUCGGUUCAUGAUCCUCUCUUUCUCUCAAUACAUCCCUUGGAACUCUGUCUGAUCUCUGUUGGCGGAGGGUGUGGUGUGCCAUGUCUAGCUGGAUGGUCUCCGGUGCAGCAUUGCCCAGUAUAAAGUUAAAGAGGGCCUGCGGUGUUGUCUCCAGGGUUUCCGCUGCUGUAUCCAUCGGGAGGCCGCGGAUUCCUAUUUGUUUUGUCG